rnacentral:lncRNA from 1 species
CUCCAGGGAAACGGAUCCUGAGAUGGAGUUUACCAUGUAGGAGGUUUACUAGGGAGUGCUCAUGAGAUCAACACCAGUGGAAAGGAAGGGAAGGAAGUAGGAUUGGGCAGAAGGAGAAGUUGAGCUGCAAGGCAGUCUCAAGAAAGGCCUCAGUUGAACCCACUGGGUGCUCUGAGGCUGGGUUGACCCUUGAGAGUUGCUCUGAGCAUGGGUGAGGAAGUUUGGCCUUUAUACCGCUGCAUGUAAUGUACAUAUACUGUAAAAUGAACAACUGCUGGAUGUGGGCUAACUGGGAAGGUGGUGUAGUAUAGUAUUGGACUCUUCUCAGCUAAGGCCAUCCCGCAAAGAGGCAGACAGCUGAGGCCCUCUGAUGACAGCACAUCCAUUUGCUGAAGCAAUAGCCCUUAAUUCCCGAAGGAAGACCUGGACAAUCACUUUCUAAUGUGCACAUGUGGAUUUAUUAAAAUACUAUGCAUAGAGUGCUUAGUGUAAUACCUCACACACAGUAAAUAAUCAGUGAAUAUGAAGUUCACUGAGUAGACGUUGAAUAAAGAGUGAACCCACAGAGUAGACGUUGAAUAAAGAGUGAAUGAGACCUGAGAAAGUUGAGGUGUUUGGCUCCUGAAGAAAGUGGACUCAAGUGAGGAUUUCACUUUUUUAUAAAGGGUAGGAAAGAUUCGUCUAAUGAGAAAGUUCAAGAAGAGAAAGAGGACCUGAAAGUAUAGGAGAGAGGAAGACUUUCCGAUGGAGAAGAAGAUGAUAGAAACAGAGUCUUGGGGACAGAGUUGGCCUGGGGAGGAAGAAAGCCAGCUUAGGAGGUGAUUCUAAUGCAGACAGUUCAUGAAAACGGAGUGACGACACAAUACUACCUUUACAAGGCACUACAGAGGAGGGCCAGCUAGAGAAGAAGGGAGGGCCGAUGAGUGAGUAAUGAAGACUAGAGAUGGAUAUACAGUGAUCUGCUGAAGCCAUCUCAUACCACUUGCAAGAGCCAAAUGUUAAAAUUAAAGGAAUUUCGUGCAUCACUUUUUGAACAGAGCCAUUAUUUUAAAAAAAAAUAUAAAUGAUAUA